rnacentral:lncRNA from 1 species
CAUUACAGAUGGCUCCCAUACUGUGUUCACGUACACCAAACCUCACAUUGCGCUCUUCAGGCGUGUUCUUUUGGAAAUCACCAAACAUUUUUAGAAGGGUCAUGUUAGACGAGGCAAGAUCAGCACUGCCACCAAGUAGACCAGGGAGAACCUUAGCAAGAGCAUUGAGGUUUUGUUGAGACAGAUUCCUGGUGGCAUCAGCUGGGCUCUCGGGAGUGUACGUCUGAAGAAAAGUUUAAAAGUCAAUAAGUCUUGACAGAAACAUAUAUUAGCAAAUGAAAAACUAUGAAUUUAUUUGACUAGAGAGGAACAUUUUCCCGUUGUCAGGAGAAAUAGCAGAGUAAAAGAGUAAGAAUUUGCACAUUCUGUACUCGUUGAUUCUUCAUAUUAUCAAGCAUGUCCCUAACUUCAAACAUUUCACAAAAAAAGGCUCAAAAGACAAGAUAAAGAAUAACAAAAGUGCCAAUGAAC